rnacentral:tRNA from 1 species
GGUGGCUCAGUGGUGGAGUGCUUGUCUUGCAUACAUGAGGCCCUGAGUUCUAUUCCUCAGCACCA